CCUACGGGAGGCAGCAGUGGGGAAUAUUGGACAAUGGGCGAAAGCCUGAUCCAGCAAUGCCGCGUGAGUGAUGAAGGCCUUAGGGUUGUAAAGCUCUUUUACCAGGGAUGAUAAUGACAGUACCUGGAGAAUAAGCUCCGGCUAACUCCGUGCCAGCAGCCGCGGUAAUACGGAGGGAGCUAGCGUUGUUCGGAAUUACUGGGCGUAAAGCGUACGUAGGCGGUUAUUCAAGUCAGAGGUGAAAGCCUGGAGCUCAACUCCAGAACUGCCUUUGAAACUAGAUAGCUAGAAUCUUGGAGAGGUGAGUGGAAUUCCGAGUGUAGAGGUGAAAUUCGUAGAUAUUCGGAAGAACACCAGUGGCGAAGGCGACUCACUGGACAAGUAUUGACGCUGAGGUACGAAAGCGUGGGGAGCAAACAGGAUUAGAUACCCUGGUAGUCCCGACGACCGUAACGAUAGAUAACUAGACUGUUCGGUCGUCUACGACGCGUGUAGUGGCGCGAGACGUACG
rnacentral:rRNA from 1 species